CGGGUGCACUGAUCCAGCCGGGCCUUUCCCUCUGUGGAACCCCAUGGCCUUCACUGGCUGUGGUGGGGAAACAGGACUUUUACUUUGAAAAAAUUAGAGUGCUCCAGGCAGGCCUAUGCUCGAAUACAUUAGCAUGGAAUAAUAGAAUAGGACGUGUGGUUCUAUUUUGUUGGUUUCUAGGACCGCCGUAAUGAUUAAUAGGGACAGUCGGGGGCAUCAGUAUUCAAUUGUCAGAGGUGAAAUUCUUGGAUCUAUUGAAGACUAACUACUGCGAAAGCAUUUGCCAAGGAUGUUUUCAUUGAUAAGGAACGAAAGUUAGGGGAUCGAAGACGAUCAGAUACCGUCGUAGUCUUAACUAUAAACUAUGCCGACUAGGGAUCGGACGAUGUUAUUCUUUGACGCGUUCGGCACCUUUCGAGAAAUCAAAGUGCUUGGGCUCCAGGGGGAGUAUGGUCGCAAGGCUGAAACUUAAAGAAAUUGACGGAAGGGCACCACCAGGGGUGGAACCUGCGGCUUAAUUUGACUCAACACGGGGAAACUCACCAGGUCCAGACACAGUGAGGAUUGACAGAUUGAGAGCUCUUUCUUGAUUCUGUGGGUGGUGGUGCAUGGCCGUUCUUAGUUGGUGGAGUGAUCUGUCUGCUUAAUUGCGAUAACGAACGAGACCUUAACCUGCUAAAUAGCCCGUACUGCUUUGGCAGUUCGCCGGCUUCUUAGAGGGACUAUCGG
rnacentral:rRNA from 1 species